CCUACGGGUGGCAGCAGUGAGGAAUAUUGGUCAAUGGACGAGAGUCUGAACCAGCCAAGUAGCGUGAAGGAUGACUGCCCUAUGGGUUGUAAACUUCUUUUAUAUGGGAAUAAAAUGUUCCACGUGUGGGAUUUUGUAUGUACCGUAUGAAUAAGGAUCGGCUAACUCCGUGCCAGCAGCCGCGGUAAUACGGAGGAUCCGAGCGUUAUCCGGAUUUAUUGGGUUUAAAGGGAGCGUAGGUGGAUUGUUAAGUAAGUUGUGAAAGUUUGCGGCUCAACCGUAAAAUUGCAGUUGAAACUGGCAGUCUUGAGUACAGUAGAGGCAGGCGGAAUUCGUGGUGUAGCGGUGAAAUGCUUAGAUAUGACGAAGAACUCCGAUUGCGAAGGCAGUUCACUGGACUGCAACUGACACUGAGGCUCGAAAGUGUGGGUAUCAAACAGGAUUAGAUACCCGAGUAGUC
rnacentral:rRNA from 1 species